rnacentral:rRNA from 1 species
AGAGCGAACGCUGGCGGCAGGCUUAACACAUGCAAGUCGAGCGGGCGUAGCAAUACGUCAGCGGCAGACGGGUGAGUAACGCGUGGGAACGUACCUUUUGGCUCGGAACAACACAGGGAAACUUGUGCUAAUACCGGAUAAGCCCUUACGGGGAAAGAUUUAUCGCCAAAAGAUCGGCCCGCGUCUGAUUAGCUAGUUGGUGAGGUAACGGCUCACCAAGGCGACGAUCAGUAGCUGGUCUGAGAGGAUGAUCAGCCACAUUGGGACUGAGACACGGCCCAAACUCCUACGGGAGGCAGCAGUGGGAAUAUUGGACAAUGGGCGCAAGCCUGAUCCAGCCAUGCCGCGUGAGUGAUGAAAGGCCCUAGGGUUGUAAAGCUCUUUUGUGCGGGAAGAUAAAGUGACGGUACCGCAAAGAAUAAAGCCCCGGCUAAACUUCGUGCCAGGCCAAGCCGAC